rnacentral:misc_RNA from 1 species
AAGUCGUAACAAGGUUUCCGUAGGUGAACCUGCGGAAGGAUCAUUACCGAGUGCGGGUUCCAACGAGCCCAACCUCCCACCCGUGUUUACCGUGACCGCGUUGCCUCGGCGGGCCCACUGGGGCCUGGCCCCGGUCGCCGGGGGGCAUCUGCCCCCGGGCCCGCGCCCGCCGAAGCGCCCUAGAACCCUGUCUGAACAGUGAGUCUGAGUGAAUGAUUCAAUCAUUAAAACUUUCAACAACGGAUCUCUUGGUUCCG